GAUGAACGCUGGCGGCGUGCCUAAUACAUGCAAGUCGAGCGAACAGAUGAGGAGCUUGCUCCUCUGACGUUAGCGGCGGACGGGUGAGUAACACGUGGAUAACCUACCUAUAAGACUGGGAUAACUUCGGGAAACCGGAGCUAAUACCGGAUAAUAUAUUUAACCGCAUGGUUCAAUAGUGAAAGACGGUUUUGCUGUCACUUAUAGAUGGAUCCGCGCCGUAUUAGCUAGUUGGUAAGGUAACGGCUUACCAAGGCAACGAUGCGUAGCCGACCUGAGAGGGGGAUCGGCGGCACUGGAAGUGGAACAGGGUCCAGACUACUAAGGGAGGGAGCAGUAGGGAAUGGGACGCAAUGGGCGGAAGCCUGACGGAGCAACGGCGAGUGAGUGAUGAAGGUCUUCGGAUCGUAAAAAUCUGUUAUCAGGGAAGAACAAAUGUGUAAGUAACUAUGCACGUCUUGACGGUACCUAAUCAGAAAGCCACGGCUAACUACGUG
rnacentral:rRNA from 1 species